rnacentral:rRNA from 1 species
UGGAAGCACCGAAACACAGCCGUGUUCGACAAUACCCGGCCUUCGAAUGACAAUCUGGAUCGCACAAUCAAAGACGAGGCCCGCCUGUGGGCACGUGCUGGAGCAACUAGGCUAGCAUCCAUCAUUCCUGUAACCUGA